rnacentral:misc_RNA from 1 species
AAGUCGUAACAAGGUUUUCGUAGGUGAACCUGCGGAAGGAUCAUUACACUCAGUAGUUUUUCUACUGCUCAGGGAGAGCGGAAAGUUUCCAGUUUGCUUUUGGCAGCUGGCAUACAAGUACGCUCUCUGUCUGAUACCCUUGUCUUUUUUGCGUACUCAAGUUUCCUCAGUGGGCUUGCCUGCCGGUUGGACAACCUUAUAACCUUUCUAAUUUUCAAUCAGCGUCUGAAUAAUUAUAAUAAUUACAA